rnacentral:lncRNA from 1 species
UUGCCUAAAUAAUCGAUGACGACCUGAGUAUGUACGCAAUGAAAGUGGCGAUGUCCAGAAUAAUAAAGCUCCUGAGGCUCAACAAGUGGCCUGUAAAUUUCCGUUAAGGUACCGUCAAUAGCACCCACUGCCAUUGGGAGUUUUCCCCAGUUUUCCAUCUUUGCUGUUCAUUCAUUAAGAGAUGGCCAAUAUACCAGAUGAUGAAAAUGUUGGUA